GCUCUGGUCCUCCCGCAACACUAACUUGUGAACUCGGUCAGGCCUGGAAGGGAGCAGCCGCAGCAGGCGACGUGUGUGCCGGGAUGUGGCUGGGGCUUCC
rnacentral:SRP_RNA from 2 species